GUAAGCGCACGCAGGCGGUCUGUCAAGUCGGAUGUGAAAUCCCCGGGCUCAACCUGGGAACUGCAUUCGAAACUGGCAGGCUGGAGUCUUGUAGAGGGGGGUAGAAUUCCAGGUGUAGCGGUGAAAUGCGUAGAGAUCUGGAGGAAUACCGGUGGCGAAGGCGGCCCCCUGGACAAAGACUGACGCUCAGGUGCGAAAGCGUGGGGAGCAAACAGGAUUAGAUACCCUGGUAGUCCACGCUGUAAACGAUGUCGACUUGGAGGUUGUUCCCUUGAGGAGUGGCUUCCGGAGCUAACGCGUUAAGUCGACCGCCUGGGGAGUACGGCCGCAAGGUUAAAACUCAAAGGAAUUGACGGA
rnacentral:rRNA from 1 species